rnacentral:SRP_RNA from 1 species
UAUUAGAGCUACUACAACAGCAUCUAGUGAACCAGGUCAGGGUAGGAAUACAGCAGCCUUAAUCUAGCUCUGCUGUGUGUGGUAGCUUUUUACUAGGA